UACGUAGGGGGCAAGCGUUGUCCGGAAUCAUUGGGCGUAAAGCGCGUGUAGGCGGCCCGGUAAGUCCGCUGUGAAAGUCCAGGGCUCAACCCUGGAAUGCCGGUGGAUACUGUCGGGCUCGAGUCCGGAAGAGGCGAGUGGAAUUCCUGGUGUAGCGGUGAAAUGCGUAGAUAUCGGGAGGAACACCAGUGGCGAAGGCGGCAUCCUGGCCCUGUCCUGACGCUCAGGGGCGAAAGCGUGGGGAGCAAACCGG
rnacentral:rRNA from 1 species